rnacentral:lncRNA from 1 species
AAAUAUUACUAUGACCGUGGAUCGGGUCGAGUCUGAAUAGUUGAUAUACUAUAUCCAUAUCCUAAAAAAAAUAGAUAGAAAAAAAUAUAUACCGUACCUAUUUAAUUUCAGAACGGGUCCGGAUCUGAGUACUUAACUUAAUAAUAAAUUCAUCAGGUUUAUUUGAGCGGGUUUGGGUAGUGGCUACCUAUAUACUACUCGCUUAAGACCCGGUAUGGAUCGCGUAUGGGUUAGGUUUAGAUCGGGUACGAAUAUCCGUAUGCAUAUAUUUUUUUUAUAAACUUUAGGCUAAAUUACAUAAAACCCUCCUGUCAAAAUCCGAUUUUUUACUUUCCCCCCUGUCAUUUAAAAACCUACACUUUGCCUCCUUGUAAAAUGAAAAAUGUUCACAGGAGGGGUGCGGUGUGUAAAAUGACCAUUUUGCCCCUCACCAUUUUCAUCUCCUCCCUUAUCUUCCUCAACCGCCGCCUCGAUCGGCCGCAAUUCACACCUCGAUCAGUCACGAUUUCUCUUCAUUUUCUUCUCUACCUGCUCCCUUUCUCCUCCUGCACCCUCGCCACCCCUCGAUUUCGGCGACAGUAGAGAGGAAAUCGAGGUGGGCGUUGAUGGAAAAGUAGGCAAGGGCAACGAGGGCGAAGGCGAGACGGUGGCGAAGGGGAUGUGGGCGAGGACGAAAGCGAGGUAGUGGAGGAGGGCGAGGCGGCGAGGCGGAGGGAGGCGAAGCAAAAGGGAAGAGGGCAGAGGGGUAUUUUUGGCAUAAACAAAUAUUUUAUAACGGAACCCUAACGGAUCACUAACGGUAGGGGGUGAAGUGCAUAUUUUUCAUUUUACAAGGGGGCAAAGUGUAGGCUUUUAAAUGACAAGGCGGGUAAGUGAAAAAUCGGGUUUUGAUAGGGGAGUUUUCUGUAAUUUAGCCUAAACUUUAUUAAACAGUCUAUGGACAAGCCACAAAACUUUCACUAUAAAAACUCGCGUUCUAAUUAAUUGCACCGAGUCUAAUAAAAUUCGCUCAAAAGAAAGAUUCAGAUAGUAAACAGCUAGAAUUUUAAAAAAUGAGUAAAAUAAGAAAAUAAAAAAAUGAGUAAACAGAGCGACUAAGAUUUU